AUGGUACUGCUGAAGAUCAUGAUCACGGAGAAAAGUCAGAGUGCUCAGUGCCAACCCAAGGGAUUCUUUCCAGAGACGUACCCGUUGGAUACCAAAAUUAGUUUGGAUAAUCUGUUCAACCAUUCUUGAUAAGUUAUCUGAAUAAUAAAAAAAACUCAACAGAGGAGGGACGACUGGAGUGAGCACUGGCCUGGGAGUCUGAAGAUUGUGCCUUCAGACCUACUUCGUCACUUACUAGCUGGCGACUUUGGUCAGUCAUCUAGUUUUUCCGGGCCUUAUGUUCCUUACAUGUGACUACUAAAAGGCUACUAGAUUAUAGGAUUUAUUAAAGAUCCUUCUGACUCUUAAUUUCCAGUAGUCAGAUUAAAAAUAGUUUGCUAAUAAUGGCUAUGUUAAAGAGCUCUGACCUUGGAGUCAAUUUAUGGCUCCACAUCCAAGCUCUACCAUUCACUAGUUUUGCUUUUCACCCAACCCCUCUGUGCCUCGGUUUCCUUUUCUGUUAAAUGGGGAUAUCUGUUCUGUUUGCCUCUGAGGGUUUUGUGAAGAUUAAAUGUGUGUGGGAGGACUUUUUAAACUUUAAAGUGCUAUAUACAUUUUAAGAGGUGUUAGUUACUGCUCCGUUGUUGGUCAGCUGAGAUAAAUCUUCAGUGUUCCCUGGAGCCUGGCUCUGGAGUGAAGAAGGUAGCUUGGCAGUUGACUUUGAGUCCUCCCGUUUCGCUGGGCAUUGGCAGUUCUGGGAGCAGAGCAGCCUUGGCAUGCCAUGGGG
rnacentral:sRNA from 1 species